rnacentral:lncRNA from 1 species
AAAAAAACGUUAUCGAUACAAUACUUUGCGAAAAGAGUCAUCUUUUAAUUCUCGAACUGCGCUGGUUCCACUCGAACUGGACUGGACGAGAUCCCUCAGUUGGAUGCAACCGGUUUCGUUUACGACCCUAAAAAACUACGGAGGAUUAAAUUAAAGCCUCGUCUUUCUGUAAUCAUCGACGGACUUAAGUCACCCUGGUUCCAGACCAGACUAGGAAAAAAGGAAUUGGCUCUCUCUUCGUUGUGAGACGAUCCUCGGCUACGCUUUGCACACUUUGGUUUGCUAUAAUUGCUGUACAACCAAUAUCUCCCCUGCGAUUAUUACGUUUUGAAAAUAAACACACCACAACAAACAAUAUCAGUUUAGCAUUUAUAUUACCGACGUAUGAAUGCCUGACGACAGUCGUACAAAUCGCUCUUUCUCAACAGAUAGCGAGUGAAUGGUGGUAUGCAUAUUGAUAUUAUUCAUUGUGGGUGGUGGAUGUAUGACUUAUUACAUAUGCCUAUUAUAUUUGCAUAUAAAUUCGAUAAUCGUAAUUUUCGUUAGUUAAAUACAUCGUGCAUUUUAUAUUUUUAAAGUUUAUAUAUAUAUAUAUAUAUAUAUUUUUAUCUCACAGUAAUGGUAUAUUAUAUUUAGCACUGCGAUUUUAUUAGUAUCGGUAGUAAAAAAAAUCUAAUCGAAAUAACGGACUAUGAACUGGGUCAUCGAGUAUUCCAGUUCACGUCGAUACGCUUGCACGAGCCAUUGACCCAACGAAAACCAAUUAAUCUCGUAAACGAUCGAAUUUAUCGACCCGAUACUGUAAUGAAUAAAACCCAACGCGAGCUUGACACACACAAGCGUUGUCGAAGCUGGCUUUAUUGCCAGAGAUACGUUACACGCGUUGAUUUGUGAUAAUGAAAACGCGAGGUGCAGAUAUUUCAUUAAUCAAUCGAUGAAGUUACAACUUUCAGUUUUCCGUUCACUCGCGGGCGAAUAAAAUAAAAUAAAAAACAAAUCAAUUUUGAUUGGAUUUAAGCGAAUUUUAAUAAAAAAAACACCCGCGAUCCGAAAACGCUCGAUAAAGUAGAUUUGGCUAGAGAAUUGGAAGAAGAACGAGGUGAAAAUGUGGGUCUGCGGGUCGUCGAAUACCCGAUGACUUCCAUCGAAGUCUGAAUCACGAGUAACGCUUUGCCAAUUCUCUUCUUCUUCGCGAUCCGCGAAGUAUUUUCCGGUCGUUGACCGUCGCCGACAGUAAACGACCCUCGAGGUCUUCUGGACGGGGAGCGCAAUGAGGAAAAACUGGGCGAACAAGGGGCGAACAAGUAAAAACUCACUCCGACCGGUGAAAUAAUCAGAGCCUCGGUUUCUCUUUCGAUCUCCUUCGAAAACGAUGCAUCGAAAUUUUCGUUCCGCUCGCGGCACACGCGACUAGUCGAUUAAUUUCUUUCACGAAAAUUAAUUCCUCGAAAUCGAGUUGUAAGUUGAGAAAUACUGAUUACAUAGAUCAAAACGUUGCGUAUCUUUAUUUCUUUCUUCAAGUUCGACGAACUCUCGCUCGAGAAGUUGAAAAGAUGAUUGGAUAACGUGGACAAACCGAAUCGCAUAUUUACAACGCUCAAAAUCUAUUGCCUAGUGACACUAUGGUUUGACUCGGUUUCGGCGCAGAAUCCGUUCCGCACGCGCGCAUGCUCGUUCCUCCUGCUGACAGGCUUGGAAAAAUAGAGAAAAGAAUCGAAACUUUACCGUUAUGUUCACCCAACUCGCGCCAUAAUUACAGCAUGGAGUUUGCUACUUGCGGGAGAGGAAAGUGUAUGUGUGUAGGAAAACGUGUACACGCUUCAACGGCAAAUCUUUUAAGCUUUUUUUACACGUGUAAUUAGUCGAAAUCGAGUCAUGCUCCAUGAGAGAUGUUCGACCAGUAAUUAUAUAGAUGACAAUUUGCUCUUGUGACAAUUAUUAUCUUCGUGCGAAUACGCAGUGCAUAGUAUUAGGUUAGAUUUCAAGUAAUCAUUUGCCUGUUGAUUUCACUCUUUCGAACCAGUGACUGAUGAAAUGGAUGAUAAUAAGUAACAAAUGUAUGCUUAAACAUCUCGUGCAGCAUGUAUAUAUAUAUAUAUACUUAAGUUCAGGUGUGCAUCAAGAUUCACGGAGAAGUACUUUCAUCCAAGUUUUAUUAACAAGAGUCGAUGCAAGAAGUAAUUAAACCGGUCUUGUGUACUUUAUCGCGAAUUAUAUUAGUAAUAGCGAUCGAGUCGCUAUCUUACAGCCAUUAAGAG